GGGGGGGGGGGGGGGGGGGGGGGGGGCGGGGGGGGCGGGCGGGGGGGCGGGGCGUGCGGUGUGGGUCAGGGGGGGACGGGUGGGUAACACGUGAGGGACCGGCCCUUGACGCUGGGGUGAGCGUUGGAAACGGCGGCUAAUACCGGGGACGAGCUGAGACCGCGUGGUCAUCCGUUGGAACGAUUUUUUGGUCACGGAUGGACUCGCGGCCUAUCAGCUUGUUGGUGAGGUAAUGGCUCACCAAGGCGACGACGGGUAGCCGGCCUGAGAGGGUGACCGGCCAACCUGGGACUGAGACACGGCCCAGACUCCUACGGGAGGCAGCAGUGGGGAAUAUUGCACAAUGGGCGCAAGCCUGAUGCAGCAACGCCGCGUGAGGGAUGACGGCCUUCGGGUUGUAAACCUCUUUUAGUAGGGAAGAAGCGAAAGUGACGGUACCUGCAGAAAAAGCACCGGCUAACUACGUG
rnacentral:rRNA from 1 species